UAAAAUAAGUUUCCUCUAAGCCACUUUUAAUGCUGAUUUCCAGUAGCAGAGGGUAAAAAGAAGCUGAAUCCCAGCCAGAACAGUGGUGUUUUAUCUUGUUCUACCUCUCUUUCCUUUGCCAGCCCCAUGCUAUCCUGGGAAACAGCAGCUUUCCAGUGCUAGAAGGCAGACUGAGCUUGCAGCUCUUCAUAAAAUCCCACACUGGAGGGCAUUGUUUCUGAGAAUCUGUCUCAGGGCUUGGUACAGCCUUGGUCAUGGCUGCCGUUUUGGAAAUUUUGCAUUGUUCACAGGACCUGCCUGCAGCUUGUGCACUCAGGAGUUUUUCUGAUGAUGGAUGCUGGAAAGAGAAAACAAUGCCCCAGAGCAGCUCAACAGACUUAAAGGUAUUCUCAAAGUGGACUGCAGUGUUUCAGUGAGAGAUAUUCAAGAGAUAGCAGCUGGUAGCUCUCCAGCACUUCAAAGAGAAAAUGCAAUGUUUGAUGAAGGAUA
rnacentral:lncRNA from 1 species